rnacentral:rRNA from 1 species
GGGGCAACCCUGGGCGGCGAGCGGCGAACGGGUGAGUAACAUAUCGGAACGUACCCUGUCGUGGGGGAUAACACAGCGAAAGCUGUGCUAAUACCGCAUACGACCUGAGGGUGAAAGCGGGGGAUCGCAAGACCUCGCGCGAUAGGAGCGGCCGAUAUCGGAUUAGCUUGUUGGUGAGGUAAAGGCUCACCAAGGCGACGAUCCGUAGCUGGUCUGAGAGGACGACCAGCCACACUGGAACUGAGACACGGUCCAGACUCCUACGGGAGGCAGCAGUGGGGAAUUUUGGACAAUGGGGGCAACCCUGAUCCAGCCAUUCCGCGUGAGUGAAGAAGGCCUUCGGGUUGUAAAGCUCUUUCAGCAGGAACGAAACGGUGGCCCCUAAUACGGGCUACUAAUGACGGUACCUGAAGAAGAAGCACCGGCUAACUACGUGCCAGCAGCCGCGGUAAUACGUAGGGUGCGAGCGUUAAUCGGAAUUACUGGGCGUAAAGCGUGCGCAGGCGGUUCCAUAAGACAGAUGUGAAAUCCCCGGGCUUAACCUGGGAACUGCGUUUGUGACUGUGGGACUCGAGUGUGGCAGAGGGGGGUGGAAUUCCACGUGUAGCAGUGAAAUGCGUAGAGAUGUGGAGGAACACCGAUGGCGAAGGCAGCCCCCUGGGUCAACACUGACGCUCAUGCACGAAAGCGUGGGGAGCAAACAGGAUUAGAUACCCUGGUAGUCCACGCCCUAAACGAUGCGAACUAGGUGUUGGGGAAGGAGACUUUCUUAGUACCGCAGCUAACGCGUGAAGUUCGCCGCCUGGGGAGUACGGUCGCAAGAUUAAAACUCAAAGGAAUUGACGGGGACCCGCACAAGCGGUGGAUGAUGUGGAUUAAUUCGAUG